AUGGGGUACAGAACUGUCCCACGUACUGAGGACAUGAUGUCUGAGCCCCCGGCCACAGCACUGCUUGUCCACGGGCCCCCAAUCAUGAUGAUGAUCAAAAAUCCCCCCACAAUUCUCAGAACAGCCCUGGGGUUCGGGACCACCGAGCUGAGAAUUCCUACACCAGAUCCACCCCUACUAGGAACUGGGAAUCCACAGUCAGGACGGGUGGCCUGUGAGGUCUGCCUUCACACACCGCACACAUUCCCACCUGCCUCGCCCUCCUGUCCCCCUCAUUUCAGGACAGAGGGGAGACCCGUUUCUACCUGUGCACCGUUGCCCGUGCCGUUCUGCUGGGGACUAGGACGCACAGGGUUUCUAAGCACCGGCUGUGUACCGGGCUUUAUACACAUUGCCUCCCUCCCUGCAGGGUGGACCUUUCCAUUGUCCUGUGUCACAGGCUGCCACACUGAGGCUCGGAGGGCAAGGGCCUGCCCUGUGUCACACAGCGCGGGAGGCAGAGGGCGGUCCUGCUCUCAGGUGUGUUUGGUGCCAACACACAGCUCUGCCCGCGUCUCCAGCGGCGUUUCCUCCGAUGUGAGAGGGAAGAUGCCAGAGGCCGGUGCCCCUGGUGGGCUGUUGGCUCAGAGAAGGUCCCUGACUCUCGGAAUUAAUGCCACACCUUCCUGCAAUAUAACAGGUUUCUCAAAAUGUGACUCAACAGCAAAAUGGAGUGAAUUUCUGAGAACGUGCAACGACCGCGACGGAGCUCGAGGGCGCUAUGCUGAGCGAGAAAGCCCAUGUCGAAAAGUUGCGUGCUGUGUGCCUCAAUCGAAGAAUGUUCCUGAAAUGACAGAACUGUAAGAGGGAGGAGAGAUGGGUGCUUGCCGGGCGACAGGGGCGGGCGUGGGGCCGGGGGGGAGCGG
rnacentral:lncRNA from 1 species